GCCUGGGUGGCUCAGUUAAGCGUCUGACUUCGGCUCAGAUCAUGAUCUCACAGUUCGAGUGGGUUCGAGUCCCACAUUGGGCU
rnacentral:tRNA from 1 species